UAAUGAGUGCGCUCGCGAUUCUGCGGC
rnacentral:sRNA from 1 species